rnacentral:lncRNA from 10 species
AGGGGGUAGGUAAUUUAAUCACGGGGGCCAGUCUUUCCUGUGCUAUUCUCGUGUUGGUGAAUAAGUUUCACAACAUCGGGGGCUUAUCAGGGCUUUCCGCUUUUGCUUCUUCCUCAUUUUUUCUCUUGCUGCCACCAUGUGAGAAGUGCAUUUCACCUCCUGCCGUGAAUGUGAGGCCUCCUCAGCCAUGUGGAACUGUAAGUCCAGUGAAACCUCUUUUUCUUCUCAGUCUCGGGUCUUUAUCAGCAGCGUGAAAGCGGACUAAUACACUGGUCAUCCUGAUAAGGUUUUAGGGAGCCCGAUCUUUUCAUAAUGUAAAGCAGAAGACACCUUCUAAUGAGAGGCUGAGUAGGAUAACACUAGUGGGAGUUUGGAGAUCUUAUGUUAAGGAUUCCCCUGACCUCUACAACAAGUUUGGUUGUCUCAUAUUCUCUCCAGUUCCUUAGGCCAGCUCAAGUUUUAUCAGUAUCUUUUGGACCCAAUGAGUCCUUCCUGGCCUCACUCCAGAAGAAGACUGGCCUCAGUCCAGAGAAACAAAAAAUGUGAAAUUCACCCACUGGAACUCUCCUUCUCCAAGUAUCAGUCUCCUUCCAGAAUUUCCGGCUUCUGGUCUCUUUUCAAGGAAUUUAGAAGCAUAGUGUCCAGAAUGAAUCUAAGUAGAAGAAGGGAAGACGAGAAGGACACAAGAAGGAAGACAAGGAAAAAUGUCGACCUCAAAGAACUAGAGGAACAACACUGGAGUUAUACGAAACACCCAGAAUUAGAAUCAGAGCAAUUUGAUUGGAUUUACUACAGCUGAUUCUAGAUACAAGAACUUUACCGAGCCAUUUACAAUUUUUGUGCUUCAAUUUCAUCAUUUUAAAACAGAAAGAAAGCAUUUACCUUAUACGCUUGUUGCUUAGAUUAUAAAGGAAUUAUCUAUAUAAAAAGUACAAUAAAGAAGAAUAUAAAUGUAAGAAUGUAGAGGGUCACAAACAUUGUUUGAAAUAUCCAUGCUUUUCAUUUUGGAGUGAAAAGAGGAAAAAUACUAACUGUAAAAUUAAAUUCAUUACUAUAUCAAAGUCAAGCCUGCCUAUCAAGUCAUUUGACAGUUAAAAAUGUUUUGUUUAUCCCAUAAACUUUAUGAAAAAACUAGUUCAUUGCCAAAGGGAUGUUACUUACAGCAAAAUCUCUAGAAGCUCUGAAAUAGAAUUUGAGUUUUAUUUGCAUUUUAUUUUUACAUUCUUACUACUCUACUAACUACAUUCUGCCUAAGUAAAUAUGCUCAAAGCUUUAAAAGUAGGCUGAAUGAAUCACUGGUGGAAAAAUAAUGACCAGGAGCCAACAACAAGCUGAAAAAACAAGAAUCCAUAAUCUCCAUAUGAGAGGAAACUGUGUGGUAAGAUGGAUUUAAUGGGUCUGGGCUAAAAUGGUAAAAGUAUAAUGGAUGUAGCUAAAACAAACAAGGUCCAACUCUAAACCAGCACAAGAAAAACAGAGCAAGGGCAUUUGAUUUCAUUUAAAAGAAAUUAAAUUUUAAAUCAAAGUAAAAAAUGUAAGUCAUUACAAUAUUGAGGUAGUUAGUGGAGUUGACUGUAUAAGAAAUUGGCUACUACUUUCAAAGGGCUUCAUCAUUUUAAAGCUAUACAAAUAUUUGUCUUGGAUAAGGUUAAAAUUAUGAAGACAUCAAAAUUCAAAGAAAGUUCAAUGCCUUUUGGGGGUCAGAAAGUCUGAAAAUAAAAAAUUCAUGUAUUUUCUUUUGUUCAUAAGAAAUGAAAAGUGGUCUUUCAUUUUUUCCCAUCUAAUAUAUCAAUAUAGCAACUUUUGUCAAACAAAGGAGAUAAACAUCUGGGUUACUAUGGGUAAGUUUUUCUCUUUCUUUUCUUAAGGGCAACCAUGCUUUCCAUUUGUCUGUAAUACUAGAAAUAUUUCACUGUAUUUUUCUACUCUAUGCCUCAACUCUAUAUUUGACUUCAUUAGAUUUUAUAAAUUGUCUCUAAAUUUUAUUUUGUGUUUAUACUCUAAACAAAUUUAUACUUUAGGGUUUUUGCCUAUGGAGUCGAAAUAGUUUAUCAUUUUCUGACUGUAAUUCCUGUAACAUAUUUAAAAAUUAAAAACUAACUUUUUUCAUGUUGAAUUAUAUUGGAACAAUGUUUUCUUCCUUAUUUUUAUAUUUUUUCUUUUAAGUUUGUUCCCAAUAUCAACAAAAAAUAUAUUUUUAAUGUGCCUUUAUUUUAUCUCCACUCACAUAACUCCUGGGAAAAUUUUUUUUCUUGAGGAUGAGGAACUAUUUUAAAAAUCAUAUUUUCUGUUCUUUACGAUGCAAAACACUCUAUGCCAAUCCCUUUAUUUGCCUUGUGGCCAGUCUCAGUAUUUAAGAUGGUUAUUAGUAAGCUAUCCAAAGACAUGUAAAAACUGAAGCUCAGAGAGGCUAGGUAAUAUGCUUAGCUAUUAGCUUGGUGCAAAAGUAAUUGCAGUUUUUGCCAUUACUUUCAACUCUAAAAACCACAAUUACUUUUGCACCAACCUGAUACUUAGCACAACCAGCUAGUUACUGAGCAAUGGAAUCAAAAUUGGAACUCAUUUAUUAAGCCAAGGUUUCUCUUUGUUCUAGUAUAUGAGGUUGCCUGUGGAAGAGUCAAAAAAUUA